AAUGACUUUGUAUCACUGUGGUGGACUUUUGGUGGAGGAACCAGACUGAAUGUUAACUUGGGUCGAGCCGGCCCCACCCUGACGGUGCUGCCCCCCUCCAGGGAGGAGCUGCUGAAGGGGAAGGCCACGCUCAUGUGCCUGGCCAACAAGGGCUUCCCCUCAGACUGGAGUCUGGCCUGGAAGGUGGACGGCAGCAGCAGCAGCAGCUGGGAGGAGAGCAGGAGCCCCGGGGUGCUGGGGAAGGACGGCAAGUACAGCUGGAGCAGCACCCUGAGGCUCCCUAAAGACCAGUGGGAGAAGGUGGGCUCUGUGACCUGUGAGGCCACCCAGGGCUCCCAGACUCCGCUCUCAGAGACACUGAGGAGAGACCAGUGUUCCCAGUCCUGACCUGACUCACUGGGACUCUGCUACUGGUUUCACUCUGAUACUGAUCUCAGUCUGCUCUCUGCUACUCUCUCUCU